rnacentral:rRNA from 1 species
GGUGCUGCAUGGCUGUCGUCAGCUCGUGUCGUGAGAUGUUGGUUAAGUCCCGCAACGAGCGCAACCCUUGUCUUUAGUUGCCAUCAUUCAGUUGGGCACUCUAAAGAGACUGCCGGUGUCAAACCGGAGGAAGGUGGGGAUGACGUCAAGUCCUCAUGGCCUUUAUGACCAGGGCUACACACGUACUACAAUGGCCGGUACAAAGGGCAGCCACUUAGCGAUAAGGAGCCAAUCCCGUAAAGCCGGUCUCAGUCCGGAUUGGAGUCUGCAACUCGACUCCAUGAAGUUGGAAUCGCUAGUAAUCGCAGAUCAGCACGCUGCGGUGAAUACGUUCUCGGGGUUU